GAUGAACGCUGGCGGCGUGCCUAACACAUGCAAGUAGAACGCUGAAGCAGGAGCUUGCUCUUCUGGAUGAGUUGCGAACGGGUGAGUAACGCGUAGGUAACCUGCCUGCUAGUUUGGUAUAACUAUUGGAAACGAUAGCUAAUACCGCAUGUCCACAGUUCUUCCAUGAUAACUGUUUAAAAGGGGCACCUGCUCCACUACCAUGUGUCCCUGCCUUGUAUUAGCUUGUUGGGGUGGUAACGGCUCACCAAGGCGACGAUGCAUCGCCGCGGUGAGAGGGUGAACGGGCACACUGGGACUGGGAGAAGGGCCAGACUGCUACGGGAGGCAGCAGUAGGGAAAGUUCGGAAAUGGGCGGAAGUCUGACCGAGCAAAGCCGGGUGAGUGAAGAAGGGUAUCGGGUCGGAAAGGUCUGUUGUAAGAGAAGAACGAGGGUGAGAGGGGAAAGUGGAUGCGGUGACGGUAUCUUACCAGAAAGGGACGGCUAACUACGUG
rnacentral:rRNA from 1 species